rnacentral:rRNA from 1 species
GAUGAACGCUGGCGGCGUGCCUAAUACAUGCAAGUCGAGCGAACAGACGAGGAUCUUGCUCCUCUUACGUUAGCGGCGGACGGGUGAGUAACACGUGGAUAACCUACCUAUAAGACUGGGAUAACUUCGGGAAACCGGAGCUAAUACCGGAUAAUAUAUUGAACCGCAUGGUUCAAUAGUGAAAGACGGUUUUGCUGUCACUUAUAGAUGGAUCCGCGCCGCAUUAGCUAGUUGGUAAGGUAACGGCUUACCAAGGCGACGAUGCGUAGCCGACCUGAGAGGGUGAUCGGCCACACUGGAACUGAGACACGGUCCAGACUCCUACGGGAGGCAGCAGUAGGGAAUCUUCCGCAAUGGGCGAAAGCCUGACGGAGCAACGCCGCGUGAGUGAUGAAGGUCUUCGGAUCGUAAAACUCUGUUAUUAGGGAAGAACAAAUGUGUAAGUAACUAUGCACGUCUUGACGGUACCUAAUCAGAAAGCCACGGCUAACUACGUG